GUCGAACGNGCAGCGCGGGGCAACCUGGCGGCGAGUGGCGAACGGGUGAGUAAUAUAUCGGAACGUACCCUGGAGUGGGGGAUAACGUAGCGAAAGUUACGCUAAUACCGCAUACGAUCUAAGGAUGAAAGUGGGGGAUCGCAAGACCUCAUGCUCCUGGAGCGGCCGAUAUCUGAUUAGCUAGUUGGUGGGGUAAAGGCCUACCAAGGCAUCGAUCAGUAGCUGGUCUGAGAGGACGACCAGCCACACUGGAACUGAGACACGGUCCAGACUCCUACGGGAGGCAGCAGUGGGGAAUUUUGGACAAUGGGCGAAAGCCUGAUCCAGCAAUGCCGCGUGAGUGAAGAAGGCCUUCGGGUUGUAAAGCUCUUUUGUCAGGGAAGAAACGGUGAGGGCUAAUAUCUUUUGCUAAUGACGGUACCUGAAGAAUAAGCACCGGCUAACUACGUGCCAGCAGCCGCGGUAAUACGUAGGGUGCAAGCGUUAAUCGGAAUUACUGGGCGUAAAGCGUGCGCAGGCGGUUUUGUAAGUCUGUCGUGAAAUCCCCGGGCUCAACCUGGGAAUUGCGAUGGAGACUGCAAGGCUAGAAUCUGGCAGAGGGGGGUAGAAUUCCACGUGUAGCAGUGAAAUGCGUAGAGAUGUGGAGGAACACCGAUGGCGAAGGCAGCCCCCUGGGUCAAGAUUGACGCUCAUGCACGAAAGCGUGGGGAGCAAACAGGAUUAGAUACCCCUGGUAGUCCACGCCCUAAACGAUGUCUACUAGUUGU
rnacentral:rRNA from 1 species